CCUCUUUCGAACCAGAGUACACUGUAGUUGCGGAUUCCGCCGGCGAAGAUGACAAACUAUAGUACGUGCUAUUUUCCUGUCCCAGGCCCAGCCACGGGCAGCCAGCCAGCAAAACCCCCCCGCGGCCAGUGAGCAGCGCCCAGUGACUUGCUGGAGUGUCAUCGGGCGACCCUGACUGCUCUCUCCUCACUGCAGAGGGCGCGCCUCCGUCGUCGUUCUUACAGCAGCGUAGGGGAGUUAUAUAAGUUAGUACUGUACAUACAUCCAGAUACAAACGAACUCACUGAACGCUCUCUCCACUUUCUGUCCAUGUAACCCAACUACUUUAGUCCCGUUCGUUGCUCGGGGAUUCCCUAGCGGGAACAAGGAGAGAGAGGGAGGGAACAGGAUACAGAAAGAACAAACGAAAAGAAAAAAAAAAAAGAAAAGAAAAGAAAAGAAAAGUAAAGUAAAGUAAUCUGAUCUGUAAAGAAAAGAAAAAAACCCGCAUGACUCGGGAACUCUGGAUUCCGGAUCCUCACCCGCUAACCUUUUGAUUUUUUAAUUUUUUUUUGAAGGGGGGGGUUUGGUUUUGGUUGGGGUUGUUUUAUCUAACUAAUUAGGUUUUGUUUCGCCUUCUUGUUAGUUAACUCGCUAGGGGGUUAGUUAGUUAGCGAAGCAGGUUUGAUGAGCUUAAAAGUUAUCGCUGUUUGGUGUAUGUUUUAGAGGUCCCAGUGUCGCAAUGCGGGUAGUUAAUUGAGUUGCGCACAUUCAUCGUUGUAUGUACAAGUUGGUGAUGAUAGUACAACACCAGAAGAACCCACAAUCAUUUUGCGCGUUAUUGUCCUUUCCUUAUUUUUUUUGGGGG
rnacentral:sRNA from 2 species